CAGUCGCCGCGGUAAUACGGAGGGUGCAAGCGUUAAUCGGAAUUACUGGGCGUAAAGCGCACGCAGGCGGUCUGACAAGUCAGAUGUGAAAUCCCCGGGCUUAACCUGGGAACUGCAUUUGAAACUGUCAGGCUGGAGUCUUGUAGAGGGGGGUGGAAUUCCAGGUGUAGCGCUGAAAUGCGUAGAGAUCUGGAGGAAUACCGGUGGCGAAGGCGGCCCCCUGGACAAAGACUGACGCUCAGGUGCGAAAGCGUGGGGAGCAAACAGGAUUAGAUACCCCUGUAGUCCCUGUCUCUUAUAC
rnacentral:rRNA from 1 species